rnacentral:rRNA from 1 species
UGGGGAAUAUUGCACAAUGGGCGCAAGCCUGAUGCAGCAACGCCGCGUGAACGAUGAAGGUUUUCGGAUCGUAAAGUUCUGUUGCAGGGGAAGAUAAUGACGGUACCCUGUGAGGAAGCUCCGGCUAACUACGUGGCAGCAGCCGCGGUAAUACGUAGGGGGCUAGCGUUAUCCGGAUUUACUGGGCGUAAAGGGUGCGUAGGUGGUGUUUCAAGUCGGUGGUUAAAGGCUACGGCUCAACCGUAGUUAGCCUCCGAAACUGGAAGACUUGAGUGCAGGGGCGGAAAGUGGAAUUCCCAGUGUAGCGGUGAAAUGCGUAGAUAUUGGGAGUAACACCAGUGGCGAAGGCGGCUUUCUGGUCUGCAACGGACACUGAGGCACGAAAGCGUGGGUAGCAAACGGG